rnacentral:lncRNA from 1 species
AUGACAAAAGUCGACAAGAGUUGCAACUCUUCCGAAGACCAUAACCGGCGAUUUCACAUAUCGAAAAUCCCAGAGACCCAUAUUAAAAACAUAAAUAGAAACCUUACUCUAGAGACUAACACAAACAAGGGAUAAUGACUUGAAAUACUUAAAGAUCAAAAGAACUCAAACUGAAAUCCAUAACUGCACUAGGUCGCCAAUCAUAACCAAGAACCCGAAGACGCACGAGUUGAACUCAAAAACAGAGACUUGAGAAGACCACAAUCCAUCAAGGUCACAACCACAAACUCACGAAAAACAACACCGGCGGAAACA